UUCAAUAUGAAAUCCCAUUACUGUCUGCCUCCAAAACCUCUCAGGCACAGGUUCUUGAACAAGUACAUUCUUGACACGGUGCUGCCAAAGAAAUCUCUAAGGAACAUGUCGGCAGCUGAAGAUGACAAUGAGCACCAGAAGAAAAGUUGCCUUCUAUCAGCUGGAAAACUUUAGUAUUGAACUGCUUUUAGUAUUCUGUAUUCAGAGCUGUUUGCAGUGCAUGUGACAGACCAAUUAUUGCAGAAACUUCGUCACAUCAGCUCAGAAUGGAAAGCAGAGACUUUCCAUUAAAAAUAUGUCUGUACAAAA